AGAGUUUGAUCCUGGCUCAGGAUGAACGCUAGCUACAGGCCUAACACAUGCAAGUCGAGGGGCAGCAUGGCGGUCGCUUGCGACCGCCGAUGGCGACCGGCGAAUGGGUGAGUAACGCGUAUCCAACCUGCCCCGCGCCCGGGGAUAGCCCUUGGAAAUGAGGAUUAAGACCCGAUACGUGGCGCCGCCGCAUGGCGGCUCCAUGAAACAGACGCGGGAUGGGGAUGCGUUGGAUUAGCCAGCUGGCAGGGCAGCGGCCUACCGGGGCGACGAUCCAUAGGGGUUCUGAGAGGAAGGUCCCCCACACUGGCACUGAGACACGGGCCAGACUCCUACGGGAGGCAGCAGUGAGGAAUAUUGGUCAAUGGGCGAGAGCCUGAACCAGCCAAGUAGCGUGCAGGAUGACGGCCCUACGGGUUGUAAACUGCUUUUGCGGGAGAAUAACCGGCGCCACGCGUGGCGCCCUGCAUGUAUCCCGCGAAUAAGGACCGGCUAAUUCCGUGCCAGCAGCCGCGGUAAUACGGAAGGUCCGGGCGUUAUCCGGAUUUAUUGGGUUUAAAGGGAGCGCAGGCGGAGGAUCAAGCCAGCCGUGAAAUGGCGGCGCUCAACGCCGUCCGGCGGUUGGAACUGGUCCCCUUGAUUGCGGGAGAGGAAGGCGGAACUUGUGGUGUAGCGGUGAAAUGCGUAGAUAUCAAGAGGAACACCAAAGGCGAAGGCAGCUUACUGGCCGACAUCUGACGCUCAGGCUCGAAGGUAUGGGUAGCAAAAGGGAUUAGAUACCCCUGUAGUCCAUACUGUAAACGAUGCAGACUAAGUCUUGUGGCAUUCGACCGCCUCAGGACCUAAGCGAACGCGAUAAGUCUGCCGCCUGAGGACUACGGUCGCAAGACUAAAACUCAAAGGAAUUGACGGGGGCCCGCACAAGCGGUGGAGCAUGUGGCUUAAUUCGAUGCAACGCGAAGAACCUUACCUAGACUUGACAUUGACUUGAAAUACUGAUGAAAGUUAGUAUGUCUUCGGACAAGUUAACAGGUGCUGCAUGGCUGUCGUCAGCUCGUGUCGUGAGAUGUUCGGUUAAGUCCGGCAACGAGCGCAACCCUCGCUUCUAGUUACCAUCAUUUAGUUGGGGACUCUAGAGGGACUACCCCUUUUGGGGAGGAAGGUGGGGAUGACGUCAAGUCAGUAUGGCCCUUACGUCUAGGGCUGCACACGUGCUACAAUGCAUUAUACAAAGGGAUGCAAUAUCGUGAGAUGGAGCCAAUCCUUAAAAUAGUGCCCAGUUCAGAUUGUAGUCUGCAAUUCGACUACAUGAAGUCGGAAUCGCUAGUAAUGGCGCAUCAGCUAUGGCGCCGUGAAUACGUUCCCGGGCCUUGCACACACCGCCCGUCAAG
rnacentral:rRNA from 1 species